CUCCCUCCGUCCCUCCCUCUCUCGCUCUCUCUCUCUCUCGUGUCUCUCCCAGCCUCACACUCACAACACACACUCACUCACAGACACACACACACACACACACAUAUACUAUCUGUGUCCUCGUCCUCCUCCAGAUGAGCGCGCCUCGUUGUCAGGGCGAGCAGAUUCGGAGCUGAAGGUGUUCUCUUGUUGCCAGGGAGCUGAAAGGAAGAAAGGAAGUGCAGGAAGAGCCGCUCUCCACCUGAAGAAACUAGAGGACGCCGCUCCCGCCUCGGAUCGGGACGCGGGCGACAAACUCCGUUGGGUCAUCGAGUGACUUCGCCA
ensembl:lncRNA